UACGAGUGCCUCAAGCGUUAUCCGGAAUCAUUGGGCGUAAAGGUUGUGUAGGUGGUUGUAUUAGUCUUCUGUUAAAUUCUUCGGCUUAACCGGGGGCAUGCAGAGGAAACGGUACGACUAGAGGAUGCGAGGGGUCUGUGGAAUUCAUAGUGUAGCGGUAAAAAUGCGUUGAUAUUAUGGAGAACACCAAAAGCGAAGGCAGCAGACUGGAGCACUCCUGACACUGAAACAAGAAAGCGUGGGUCGCGAAUGGG
rnacentral:rRNA from 1 species